UAUUGGUCAAUGGACGCGAGUCUGAACCAGCCAAGUAGCGUGAAGGAUGACUGCCCUAGGGGUUGUAAACUUCUUUUAUAUGGGAAUAAAGUUUUCCACGUGUGGAAUUUUGUAUGUACCGUAUGAAUAAGGACCGGCUAAAUCCGUGCCAGCAGCCGCGGUAAUACGGAUUAUCCGAGCGUUAUCCGGAUUUAUUGGGUUUAAAGGUAGCGUAGGUGGACAGUUAAGUCAGUUGUGAAAGUUUGCGGCUCAACCGUAAAAUUGCAGUUGAUACUGGCUGUCUUGAGUACAGUAGAGGUGGGCGGAAUUCGUGGUGUAGCGGUGAAAUGCUUAGAUAUCACGAAGAACUCCGAUUGCGAAGGCAGCUCACUGGACUGUUGACUGACACUGAGGCUCGAAAGUGUGGGUAUCAAAAA
rnacentral:rRNA from 1 species